rnacentral:rRNA from 1 species
GAUGAACGCUGGCGGCGUGCUUAACACAUGCAAGUCGAACGGGAAAUAUUUCAUUGAGACUUCGGUGGAUUUGAUCUAUUUCUAGUGGCGGACGGGUGAGUAACGCGUGGGUAACCUGCCUUAUACAGGGGGAUAACAGUCAGAAAUGGCUGCUAAUACCGCAUAAGCGCACAGAGCUGCAUGGCUCAGUGUGAAAAACUCCGGUGGUAUAAGAUGGACCCGCGUUGGAUUAGCUUGUUGGUGAGGUAACGGCCCACCAAGGCGACGAUCCAUAGCCGGCCUGAGAGGGUGAACGGCCACAUUGGGACUGAGACACGGCCCAGACUCCUACGGGAGGCAGCAGUGGGGAAUAUUGCACAAUGGGGGAAACCCUGAUGCAGCGACGCCGCGUGAAGGAAGAAGUAUCUCGGUAUGUAAACUUCUAUCAGCAGGGAAGAUAGUGACGGUACCUGACUAAGAAGCCCCGGCUAACUACGUGCCAGCAGCCGCGGUAAUACGUAGGGGGCAAGCGUUAUCCGGAUUUACUGGGUGUAAAGGGAGCGUAGACGGUGUGGCAAGUCUGAUGUGAAAGGCAUGGGCUCAACCUGUGGACUGCAUUGGAAACUGUCAUACUUGAGUGCCGGAGGGGUAAGCGGAAUUCCUAGUGUAGCGGUGAAAUGCGUAGAUAUUAGGAGGAACACCAGUGGCGAAGG